GGAUGCGGGCUCCCGCUGCGGCAGCCGCCGCCUGAGCCCCGCUCCCUCGGCCGCUCGCCCCCUGCCGGGUGACCGCCGCCUCCGCCGCCAGCCGCCGUAGAAGUUUACCACACCUCAUCUUUUUGGCCCAAAGACGGGAGGCCAAUUGCCUUGGGAUGGUUUAAGGAUGGAUCCUUGCCUUAGACUCGCCCAAAUGACAAGGUUUGGGACUGGGCGCGCGCUUCCUCAGUUCAGCCUCAAUCUGAGAUGACAGUAACUAGGACUUUGCCCAAGAGGAAGCCUAGAAUGUUCAACCCAGGCUCUCUGGGGGAGCCAGCGACUCCCUAAGAGACACGCUGCUGAGGACCCAGCCUCCGUCACCCAAAUCCACACAUACCAGCGACAUCCACCCACUCCCUGCGACUGACCGCCCGCUGUGUGCCCGCCAGUGCUGUGGGCUUGCAGAUUCAGCAGCGAACAAGAUAAACAAGCUUCCUAAAAUACAAAUGUCUUCUCAAUACCA